GGGCGAGUGGCGGAACGGCAGACGCGGGGGUCUUAAAAGCCCCUGGGCCUCACGGCCCGGUUGAGGGUUCGAGUCCCUCCUCGCCCA
rnacentral:tRNA from 1 species